GAUGAACGCUGGCGGCGUGCCUAAUACAUGCAAGUCGAACGAGUUCUCGUUGAUGAUCGGUGCUUGCACCGAGAUUCAACAUGGAACGAGUGGCGGACGGGUGAGUAACACGUGGGUAACCUGCCCUUAAGUGGGGGAUAACAUUUGGAAACAGAUGCUAAUACCGCAUAGAUCCAAGAACCGCAUGGUUCUUGGCUGAAAGAUGGCGUAAGCUAUCGCUUUUGGAUGGACCCGCGGCGUAUUAGCUAGUUGGUGAGGUAAUGGCUCACCAAGGCGAUGAUACGUAGCCGAACUGAGAGGUUGAUCGGCCACAUUGGGACUGAGACACGGCCCAAACUCCUACGGGAGGCAGCAGUAGGGAAUCUUCCACAAUGGACGCGAGUCUGAUGGAGCAACGCCGCGUGAGUGAAGAAGGCUUUCGGGUCGUAAAACUCUGUCGUUGGAGAA
rnacentral:rRNA from 2 species